rnacentral:rRNA from 1 species
GACGAACGCUGGCGGCGUGCCUAAUACAUGCAAGUAGAACGCUGAAGAGGGGAGCUUGCUCUUCUUGGAUGAGUUGCGAACGGGUGAGUGAAGCGUAGGUAACCUGCCUUGUUGCGGGGGAUAACUAUGGGAAACGAUAGCUAAUACCGCAUAACCGUGGAUGACACAUGUUAUUUAUUAGAAAGGGGCAGUUGCUCCACUACAAGAUGGACCUGCGUUGUAUUAGCUAGUAGGUGAGGUAAUGGCUCACCUAGGCGACGAUACAUAGCCGACCUGAGAGGGUGAUCGGCCACACUGGGACUGAGACACGGCCCAGACUCCUACGGGAGGCAGCAGUAGGGAAUCUUCGGCAAUGGGGGCAACCCUGACCGAGCAACGCCGCGUGAGUGAAGAAGGUUGUCGGAUCGUAAAGCUCUGUUGUAAGUCAAGAACGGGUGUGAGAGUGGAAAGUUCACACUGUGACGGUAGCUUACCAGAAAGGGACGGCUAACUACGUG